UACGUAGGGUGCGGGCGUUAAUCGGAAUUACUGGGCGUAAAGCGUGCGUAGGCGGUUCGUUAAGUUCGUUGUGAAAGCCCCGGGCUCAACCUGGGAACUGCAAUGGAAACUGGCGGGCUUGAGUGUGGCAGAGGGGGGUGGAAUUCCGCGUGUAGCAGUGAAAUGCGUAGAUAUGCGGAGGAACACCGAUGGCGAAGGCAAUCCCCUGGGCCUGCACUGACGCUCAUGCACGAAAGCGUGGGGAGCAAACAGG
rnacentral:rRNA from 1 species